rnacentral:rRNA from 1 species
CCUACGGGUGGCAGCAGUGAGGAAUAUUGGUCAAUGGGCGGGAGACUGAACCAGCCAAGCCGCGUGAGGGAUGAAGGUACAGAGUAUCGUAAACCUCUUUUGUCAGGGAACAAAGGCGGGGACGUGUCCCCGGAUGAGCGUACCUGAAGAAAAAGCAUCGGCUAACUCCGUGCCAGCAGCCGCGGUAAUACGGAGGAUGCGAGCGUUAUCCGGAUUUAUUGGGUUUAAGGGGUGCGCGGGCGGUCUGUUAAGUCAGCGGUAAAAGCCCGGGGCUAAACCCCGACCCGCCGUUGAAACUGGGAGUCUGGAGUGUGGGAGAAGUAUGCGGAAUGCGUGGUGUAGCGGUGAAAUGCAUAGAUAUCGCGCAGAACUCUGAUUGCGAAGGCAGCAUGCCGGCUCCACACUGACGCUGAUGCACGAAAGCGUGGGUAUCGAACAGGAUUAGAUACCCGUGUAGUC